rnacentral:lncRNA from 1 species
AAUUUUUAGAUGAACCAAAGCCUCCGUGUUUUCUUGACUAGAAAAAGAGAUUUAGUUCAUCUCUGUGGAGGAAAUCCUAUGCGAAAUUGCAGAGAUCGUUGCGGCGUACAUUGUCCCAAAAUUUAGAUGAAAAAGGCAAUGGAAUUAAGAACAAUGCCAAAGACAACUCCAAGCCAAAGAAUGGCUAAUUGUUUUCUACUAAGUGUCUACAUACGAUGGAAUAGAAAAAGCAACAUAAAAGAUGCCAAAGUCUAAUUCCAGCUAUGGUCAAAAUUGACGGCUGCCAAGAGAAAUAAUAGGAAAGAGUCCCACUGCUUCUCGGUUUCCUUCUGCCAACGCACCACACCUCCAUCAAAAUAGGAAACUUUGUCUUCCAAUUGGAAUUGGGCUUGUAACUCUAUGCAGAUUUCCACAUCUCAUCCCUCAUUUAUCAGAAUUUUAUACUCUACCCCUGCAAUUAUGUCCAAAUGCCAAUUAUAAGUAGAAUCCGACAAUUAACAAAAAAUUUGGCACAAUAAUAAGGAAAAUUAACCAAAAAAUUAUUAAUAAUUAACACCCUAUCAAUUCCCCCCACACCUAAACCAUGCUUGUCCUCAAGCAUGAGAAUAGCAAACAAACACUAAUAUUUGACAAUGGCUAUUGCUCCAUCUACCUUAUUGCCAAGAUACAAAAAAAAAAAAAAAAUAUCAAGCAUCAAUGGUCAAGAUCCAAGAAACAUCACCCCGGUUAGCUUCUAAACCACAAACUCCUCCAAUUUAAGGCAAACUAAUCUAAGAAAAAGGAAUGAUCGCUCAACAUUUAUCAGCAAAUGGUCCAACUUUUAAUCAAAAUCUCAACAUUAAAUCCAUAAAUCGGCAAGUUGACUUUUAUCACACAUUAACACAAGCUUCACUUUUUUGUCACGUUUUUCUAUUUUUUUCUUUUUUUUCUUUUUCAAUUGUAACAAAAGACUUAGUCUCUAGCCAUUGGAGCCUUUUGACGUGAAUUCCAAUAUUUGUCAGAUGAAGGAGUCCGGUUACUCAAUUCCUAUCGCUAUACGACCACGUACUCAUAGGAAUUACUACUUUUCGACACGAGAAUCGACACUUUUGGUGAGGAUCCCCAAUUACUCAGCAAUAAUAACUAGAGAAGUACAACCAAAUUUUAUUCAUAGCCAGCAACAAAAUAACUUAAAAUAUCACAACAAAAAUAGCAGCAGCUAACCUCAUUUUUUCAAACAUGGAGAACUAAAGUUAAUAAUUGGACCAAUUCACAUGAAAAUGCCAACAAUUAUUCUCUAUGCCUAGAGAAAUUAACCAAAAAUUAUAGGAGUCAUACAAUCAUCGAUAUUCACCAAAGAGAUGUUUUUGGACUCAACCAAAUUAACUUGAUAUACUUUUAUUACUAAAACUUGACAAUAGUAGCAUUGGAGUUAACAACCAUCAUCAAUCCUUGGCAGUCACAAAAAUAAAAAGUAAAAAGAAAAUAAAAGAAAAACAGAACAAAUAACAAGAAAUAAAGGAAAAACAUCUAAAAAAUUAAAAAUACUAGCUGUACCACAGCUCACCCCACACCUAAAUUUGACAUUGUCCUCAAUGGAGAUCAUAAAGCAAAGAAAGCAAACAGGACAACGAAACUUCCCUGAGUACGUGGUGGAGGGUUUCGAGCGGUUGUGGUGACCCCUCUGGUGGAGUAAUGGUGGCGAGGAGCGGUAGGGGCGGCUAAUGUCGAACGGGGCUGUGGAGUGCGACGGAGGAAGGGAAGGGACGGCGAGUUCGACCUUCCCAAUAAACAUCCCAAGCAAAACCACACGCAAUCGAUAUGCAGGUUACCAGACAAUGCAAGUAACGAGGGGAAGGUUACCCGACAAUGCAAGUAAAUUGAACCAAUCUCAACAAGCAAAUAACUGUCAGAGAUGUCUCCCAAUAAUCAACAGAUAAUUGCAAGACUUGCCCACCUCAAAAUCUCAAAAAGUGUCUCCAAUUGGACAGUUAAUUACACAACUCAACCAACUGAAAUUAGCAAAUGAGCCAAGAAAUCGGCAAUUCCAGCAAUAGCAGUUUAGAAUUUUGAUAACAACUUAAUCACAAGGUGUUUUUGCUUUCAAUCAGGCAGCCAACCAAAUAGAAUCAACAAAUGUAGUCAAAAUACCCCAAUCAGUACCACUGGUGCACCCACAGAUAAUGGAACAACUCAAAUGGCCAACCUAAUCAACAAAAUGCUCAAGUUAGGCACCUAAGGUCUAAACAAAUGUCCCAACAAUGCAGCAAUUUCAAGACACCCGCAGGUUGCUUUCAGCCAAUGAGUCACAAUCAACCUAACAAUCAACUUAGCAAUCAACUAAAUCUAUGGCAACAAUAAACAUAAUAAAAGCCAGUGGUCACAAGCAGGCAAUCAGAGGCACACUAGAGCCAACCAAAUCUCAACACAGACCCACAGAAGGCAAUUAUCGAAUGAAUUAGGCAACAAUGGAGCAGAUGAAUUGCAAGUGAGUUCAACAAACAAUCCCCCAAAAGUGAUGCUCCAAAUACUAAAGUAAGAGUAAGAGGAGUAAAAACCGAAUGUCCCUGAAGCACGAGGAUGGCGCGGUUGGCCGACAGCCACGCGGUGGUUUGUGUCGGUCGCGGCUAGGUGGUGGUGGCGCUGGCGUUGGACGAGAGGGAAAAAGAGAGGCCACGUGCGAGCGAGGCGAGCGAGAGAGAGAGCGGGCUGCGGUGGUCACGGGCUGGUGGCUCGCGAUGAUGGUGGCAGUCGCGGCAAGGAGUGAUGGUCGCGCGCAAGGGUGAGGAGAGAGUGAGAGGGCGGCAGACAGCUGUGAAGAAUGGAGGAGGUGGUGGCGGACGUGGAGCUCUCGGCCGAAAGAGAAAGGGGGAAGGGAAUUAGGGAAGAAGAAAGAAAAGAGGAAGAAAGAAAAAAAGAAAAAAAGAGUUUUUGAGUAUUUUUUUUUUUUUUAUCUUGGAUCAUCAAACACAGUGUGGGCACCCCAAG